UACAGAGGGGGCAAGCGUUGUUCGGAAUUACUGGGCGUAAAGGGCGCGUAGGCGGCCUGUUAAGUCGAACGUGAAAUCCCCGGGCUCAACCCGGGAACUGCGUCCGAUACUGGCAGGCUUGAAUCCGGGAGAGGGAUGCGGAAUUCCAGGUGUAGCGGUGAAAUGCGUAGAUAUCAGGAGGAACACCGGUGGCGAAGGCGCUGCUCUGGGCCGGUGCUGACGCUGAGGAGCGAAAGCGUGGGUAGCAAACAGG
rnacentral:rRNA from 1 species